AGUGAACGCUGGCGGUAGGCCUAACACAUGCAAGUCGAACGGCAGCACAGUAAGAGCUUGCUCUUACGGGUGGCGAGUGGCGGACGGGUGAGGAAUACAUCGGAAUCUACUUUUUCGUGGGGGAUAACGUAGGGAAACUUACGCUAAUACCGCAUACGACCUACGGGUGAAAGCAGGGGAUCUUCGGACCUUGCGCGAUUGAAUGAGCCGAUGUCGGAUUAGCUAGUUGGCGGGGUAAAGGCCCACCAAGGCGACGAUCCGUAGCUGGUCUGAGAGGAUGAUCAGGCACACUGGAACUGAGAAACGGUCCAGACUCCUACGGGAGGCAGCAGUGGGGAAUAUUGGACAAUGGGCGCAAGCCUGAUCCAGCCAUACCGCGUGGGUGAAGAAGGCCUUCGGGUUGUAAAGCCCUUUUGUUGGGAAAGAAAAGCAGCAGGUUAAUACCCCGCUGUUCUGACGGUACCCAAAGAAUAAGCACCGGCUAACUUCGUG
rnacentral:rRNA from 1 species